rnacentral:SRP_RNA from 1 species
CGGAAGGCAGCAGGCCUGGUGGACUCGGUUGUGUGCGGGACGUUGGU